UAAUUAUUGUUGUUCAAGCGAUUCAUGCAAGAAGAAAUAUAUCUUCGUCAAAAUGAGUAUGUUGAGAGCAAGAAUAGUAAUAUUUUUACGUGAACAGAUGUUCACACAGGAGGAAAAACAAUGCUACAAGGUAAAGUAAAAUGGUUCAACGCAGAAAAAGGUUUCGGUUUCAUCGAAGUUGAAGGUCAAGACGAUGUAUUCGUUCACUUCUCAGCUAUUCAAGGCGAAGGUUUCAAAUCUUUAGAAGAAGGUCAAGAAGUUUCUUUCGAAAUCGUUGAAGGUAACCGUGGACCUCAAGCUGCUAACGUUACUAAAUAAUAUAACCAAUUAAAGAAGACUCCUUUUUUAGGAGUCUUUUUAUU
rfam:Bacillus coahuilensis p1.1.43 ABFP000026, whole genome shotgun sequence.